GCUGGGCGUGGUGGCGCAUGCCUGUAAUUCCAGCUACACGGGAGGCUGAGGCAGGAGAAUCACUUGAACCCAGGAGGCAGAGGUUGUAGUGAGCCAAGAUUGCGCCACUGCACUCCAGCCUGGGUGACAGAGUAAGACUCUGUCUCAA
rnacentral:SRP_RNA from 1 species